UGCUAGCUUAGAUUGGUAGAGCAUUGCGCUAACAACGCAAAGGUUGUGGGUUCAAAUCCCAGGGAAAGCAA